CAUGCAGUCGUACGAGAAUCCUGGGAACCGGGAGAGUAAAGUGGCGCACGGGUGAGUAACGCGUGGGUAACCUGCCCUUGAGUUGGGGAUAACCCCGCGAAAGCGGGGCUAAUACUGAAUAAUAUGUCGAUCCCUACGGGGGUUGACAUCAAAGAUGGCCUCUGCAUGCAAGCUAUUGCUCAGGGAUGGGCCCGCGUGCCAUUAGCUUGUUGGUAGGGUAAUGGCCUACCAAGGCAACGAUGGUUAGCUGGUCUGAGAGGAUGGCCAGCCACACUGGAACUGAGACACGGUCCAGACUCCUACGGGAGGCAGCAGUGGGGAAUCUUGCGCAAUGGGGGAAACCCUGACGCAGCAACGCCGCGUGGGUGAUGAAGGCCUUCGGGUCGUAAAGCCCUGUCAGGUGGGAAGAAAUAUACCGAUGCGAAUACCAUCGGUAUUUGACGGUAUCACCGGAGGAAGCACCGGCUAACUCCGUGCCAGCAGCCGCGGUAAUACGGAGGGUGCAAGCGUUGUUCGGAAUUAUUGGGCGUAAAGCGCGUGUAGGCGGUUGGGUAAGUCAGAUGUGAAAGCCUUCCGCUCAACGGAAGAAGUGCAUUUGAAACUGCCCAGCUAGAGUACGGGAGAGGAGAGUGGAAUUCCCGGUGUAGAGGUGAAAUUCGUAGAUAUCGGGAGGAACACCAGUGGCGAAGGCGGCUCUCUGGUCCGAUACUGACGCUGAGACGCGAAAGCGUGGGGAGCAAACAGGAUUAGAUACCCUGGUAGUCCACGCCGUAAACGAUGGGCACUAGUGUAGGAGGUAUUGACCCCUUUCUGUGCCGAAGCUAACGCAUUAAGUGCCCCGCCUGGGGAGUACGGCCGCAAGGUUA
rnacentral:rRNA from 1 species